rnacentral:lncRNA from 1 species
CCAGCAAAAGUGAGGAAAAAACCAGCAGCAGAGGUAUUACAAGGUAUGCUCAUAUAUAGAGUGUUGCUAAUUAUUUUUAAAAUAAAAGAUAUAUUACUUUCUAGGAGUACACUGAUUCAUGGAAGCUGGGGAAAAAUGACAGCAAAAUGCAUAAAAGCUAUUAAUUGCAAUGACAUACUUGUUGUUCAGCAACCUUGCAGAGCAGAUGAAAGCAUUUAUCUUCCUUCAAAGUCAUCCAUCUCUCCAGACCACAACACUACAAGGAUACAGCAGGAGACUGUCAAUAGCCUUGCGAAAACUGAGGAAGGUGGCAUCCACUGCCUUCUUCUUUUCCACAAAUCCCACCUAGUUAGCCUAGAAGACAAUCGUAUUGGACAAGUACCAUUUAUUCUUGAUGAAUCCAUGCUGAUCCCUCCUAGUAACAUUCUCUUUCAAGUGCUCAAAUAUGUGCUCCAAGAAAACAAACUAUUCCCAGGGACCAGGGAGAGGCGGACUGGUCUGCAUUUUUCAUGUUUUCUUAAGAUUUGAGAAAAUUUGUCCUCCAGCUGCUGUGAGGGCAUCUGAUUUCCAGAACCAUUGAAAAAUGGCAUAAGGUGGUCUCAGUAUGAUAUGAGCCAUGCUCUCUCAGCACUCUCUGACUGACAAACAAACCCCUACCAAGGAUGGAAAUAGGCAAGCAUGAUGUGCCCAUGAAGCUCAUGGAAUCAUGUGUGGUGUGACUGACUACAGCUGUUGCAAAGAAUCUAACUGUAUCUCAACACAAAUGACAUAGUUGAGAUUCUUUUGUUAGGAAUCUGUACUAAUACCAAAUAGAUUUUUGGUGAUUUCUACACAAGUCGAUAUAAGUAAAGGAUGAUAACUUAUUAUUAAGCAUGACAGAAACUGCCCUCAGUAACUGCCAAUAUCACUAUUUCAUGAUGAUUUUUUUCCAUUAGGAUUGAUAAAUUGACUAGGCUGAGCUGAAAACAAGCUGAUUAUAGUAGAGAUCUUUCAAUACACAUACACACAUCUAUUCCAUAUUCCAUCAAAAUCCAUUGAACUGUAGAAUCACAGUUUGUUUAAAAAAAAAUAAAUUUGAAUUUAAAACCA